rnacentral:rRNA from 1 species
UACGAAGGGGGCUAGCGUUGCUCGGAAUUACUGGGCGUAAAGCGCACGUAGGCGGCUUCUUAAGUCGGUGGUGAAAUCCCCGGGCUCAACCCGGGAACUGCGUCCGAUACUGGCAGGCUUGAAUUCGGGAGAGGGAUGCGGAAUUCCAGGUGUAGCGGUGAAAUGCGUAGAUAUCAGGAGGAACACCGGUGGCGAAGGCGGCAUCCUGGACCGACACUGACGCUGAGGAGCGAAAGCCAGGGGAGCAAACGGG